rnacentral:rRNA from 1 species
UGGCGGCAGGCUUAACACAUGCAAGUCGAGCGCCCCGCAAGGGGAGCGGCAGACGGGUGAGUAACGCGUGGGAACGUACCCUUUUCUACGGAAUAACGCAUGGAAACGUGUGCUAAUACCGUAUGAGCCCUUCGGGGGAAAGAUUUAUCGGGAAAGGAUCGGCCCGCGUUGGAUUAGCUAGUUGGUGGGGUAAAGGCCUACCAAGGCGACGAUCCAUAGCUGGUCUGAGAGGAUGAUCAGCCACAUUGGGACUGAGACACGGCCCAAACUCCUACGGGAGGCAGCAGUGGGGAAUAUUGGACAAUGGGCGCAAGCCUGAUCCAGCCAUGCCGCGUGAGUGAUGAAGGCUCUAGGGUUGUAAAGCUCUUUCACCGGAGAAGAUAAUGACGGUAUCCGGAGAAGAAGCCCCGGCUAACUUCGUGCCAGCAGCCGCGGUAAUACGAAGGGGGCUAGCGUUGUUCGGAAUUACUGGGCGUAAAGCGCACGUAGGCGGAUAUUUAAGUCAGGGGUGAAAUCCCGGGGCUCAACCCCGGAACUGCCUUUGAUACUGGGUAUCUGGAGUAUGGAAGAGGUGAGUGGAAUUCCGAGUGUAGAGGUGAAAUUCGUAGAUAUUCGGAGGAACACCAGUGGCGAAGGCGGCUCACUGGUCCAUUACUGACGCUGAGGUGCGAAAGCGUGGGG